rnacentral:rRNA from 1 species
GAUGAACGCUGGCGGCGUGCCUAAUACAUGCAAGUCGAGCGAACAGACGAGUAGCUUGCUCCGCUGACGUUAGCGGCGGACGGGUGAGUAACACGUGGAUAACCUACCUAUAAGACUGGGAUAACUUCGGGAAACCGGAGCUAAUACCGGAUAAUAUAUUUAACCGCAUGGUUCAAUAGUGAAAGACGGUUUUGCUGUCACUUAUAGAUGUAUCCGCGCCGCAUUGGCUAGUUGGUAAGGUAACGGGUUACCAAGGCAACGAUGCGUAGCCGACCUGAGAGGGUGAUCGGCCACACUGGAAGUGAGACACGGUCCAGACUCCUACGGGAGGCAGCAGUAGGGAAUGUUCGGCAAUGGGCGAAAGCCUGACGGAGCAACGCCGCGUGAGUGAUGAAGGUCUUCGGAUCGUAAAACUCUGUUAUUAGGGAAGAACAAAUGUGUAAGUAACUAUGCACGUCUUGACGGUACCUAAUCAGAAAGCCACGGCUAACUACGUG